rnacentral:rRNA from 1 species
CAGCCGCCGCGGGAAAACGUAGGGUGCAAGCGUUAAUCGGAAUUACUGGGCGUAAAGCGUGCGCAGGCGGCUAUGCAAGACAGAUGUGAAAUCCCCGGGCUCAACCUGGGAACUGCAUUUGUGACUGCAUGGCUAGAGUACGGUAGAGGGGGAUGGAAUUCCGCGUGUAGCAGUGAAAUGCGUAGAUAUGCGGAGGAACACCGAUGGCGAAGGCAAUCCCCUGGACCUGUACUGACGCUCAUGCACGAAAGCGUGGGGAGCAAACAGGAUUAGAUACCCGUGUAGUCCCUGUCUCUUAUAC